rnacentral:rRNA from 1 species
UACGGAGGGGGCUAGCGUUGUUCGGAAUUACUGGGCGUAAAGCGCGCGUAGGCGGACCUGCAAGUCGGGGGGUGAAAGCCUGUGGCUCAACCACAGAAUUGCCUUCGAUACUGUUUGGCUUGAGACCGGAAGAGGUAAGUGGAACUGCGAGUGUAGAGGUGAAAUUCGUAGAUAUUCGCAAGAACACCAGUGGCGAAGGCGGCUUACUGGUCCGGUUCUGACGCUGAGGCGCGAAAGCGUGGGGAGCAAACAGG